GUCUUUUUGAUUAUAAUUUAAAGUCUGACCUGCCCAAUGAAUUAUUGAAUGGCCGCAGUAUUUUAACUGUGCGAAGGUAGCAUAAUAAUUAGUUUUUUAAUUGAGAACUGGUAUGAAUGGUUGGACGAGAAAAUAGCUGUCUCAAUUUAAUUUUAAUUAUAACUUUAUUUUUAAGUUAAAAAGCUUAAAUUUUUUUAAAAGACGAGAAGACCCUAUAGAGUUUUAUAUAAAAUUUAUUUUUAAUUAGUAAAGUAUUAUUUUAUUUUAAAUUUAAUUUUAUAUUUUAUUGGGGUGAUAUAAAAAUUUAAAUAACUUUUUAUUUUAUUUUACAUUUAUAUAUGAAAAAUUGAUCCAUUAUUUAUGAUUAAAAGAUUAAAUUACCUUAGGGAUAACAGCGUAAUUUUUUUUUAGAGUUCUUAUCGAAAAAAAAGAUUGCGACCUCGAUGUUGAAUUUAAAA
rnacentral:rRNA from 1 species